GCCCAAUACAAAUGAUCAUAACUGAUAGACAGCCGGACAAUAUCAAGGAAAAGGCAUCAGCGCGACCCUGAGCAGAGAAAGGACAAAUAAAAAGGCCGAGAUGAAGCCAGUGCAUCUAUAUCAGCUCUCUGGAUUCUGACGGCACCCAUUCGCUGCAUGAGAAAGGACGUUUUGCAAAAUUUCCCUUAAUAAAAUUCAUCUCCAACGGCCUGGGGAUUCCAUAUGGACUUCAGGUCAGUUCUGUUGGCUGGCCAAUCAAGCGGAGAAAUAUCAUGGUCAGCAAACCGCUCGGAAGUGCCGGUGCUAAAGUCCUCAGCAUCUCCAUGAAGCUUGUCAGCAUAUGGCAGCGUAAAGUGCUCCCAAGAAGCUCUCCCAAGCGUUUGAAACGGCUUUGCUUGACAGUAUUCUUAAUGUUACCCAAUUACGUCCUUCCAGUCAACUUUGCUUUUAAUAUGCUUUGAUACAGCGCUCUGUGAAGAGCCAUCCCUUUCAGUGACCCUCUGUGACAAUGAUUGUUAAAUCAGCAGCCUUCCCAAUGAUUGUGGAUUCAAUGAAUAAGAUAUACCAGCAAUUUACACUGUAGGGAUGGUCAUGUAAUAAAACUCAAACUCAACUUUAACAUUUUGAGAUAUUGGAUUUUUGACUUCCGUGAGCUGUAAGCUCUAAUCGUCAAAAUGCAAAUGAAAAAUCUUAACUAAUUGCUGUUUAGCAUGUGUAUUACUUGAAUAUUAACCAUUUAAUAGUUGAUUAAGCACAUGUUAGCGCAUUAUUAUACAUGACCCUUGUCACAAAUCUGGUCCACGAACUUCUGUUCACUCACCUCCAGAUGUCAC